rnacentral:lncRNA from 1 species
CCAGAGGAUGUUGCACCUCCUCCACCAUCAGCAGCACCUACUAUCCCAGAAACCCAAAUGCCUAAACCUACCUCAUCUGGAGGGAGCAAGGUCAAGAUGACCGAUUAUAUGAAGUUGGGUGCUCCCCAGUUUGAAACCGGUGAUGACCCGUUUGUGUACCUUGAGAGGGUCAAGACAAUUACAGAUGAGAUAGGAGCUGAUGACAGUAGAGCCAUUCAGAUGGCUGGGUUCACACUAAAAUGCAAGAAGGCCCGAGAGUGGUUUAAGAACUAUGUGAACCCGAGGUUGGACAGCC